rnacentral:rRNA from 1 species
AACGCUAGCUACAGGCUUAACACAUGCAAGUCGUGGGGCAGCAUGGGAGAUGCUUGCAUUUCCUGAUGGCGACCGGCGCACGGGUGAGUAACGCGUAUCCAACCUGCCCCUUACUCCGGCACAGCCCGUCGAAAGGCGGAUUAAUGCGGGAUGCAGUCAGAGAGAUGCAUAUAUGUCUGACGAAAGGAUUCGUCCGGUAAGGGAUGGGGAUGCGUCCGAUUAGCUUGACGGCGGGGUAACGGCCCACCGUGGCGACGAUCGGUAGGGGUUCUGAGAGGAAGGUCCCCCACAUUGGAACUGAGACACGGUCCAAACUCCUACGGGAGGCAGCAGUGAGGAAUAUUGGUCAAUGGGCGAGAGCCUGAACCAGCCAAGUAGCGUGAGGGAAGACUGCCCUAUGGGUUGUAAACCUCUUUUAUGCGGGAAUAAAGUGAGCCACGUGUGGCUCAUUGCAGGUACCGCACGAAUAAGGACCGGCUAAUUCCGUGCCAGCAGCCGCGGUAAUACGGAAGGUCCGGGCGUUAUCCGGAUUUAUUGGGUUUAAAGGGAGCGCAGGCCGUCCUUUAAGCGUGCUGUGAAAUGCCGCGGCUCAACCGUGGCACUGCAGCGCGAACUGGGGGACUUGAGUACGCACGAGGUAGGCGGAAUUCGUGGUGUAGCGGUGAAAUGCUUAGAUAUCACGAAGAACUCCGAUUG